rnacentral:misc_RNA from 1 species
GAUGAAGAACGUAGCGAAAUGCGAUAAGUAAUGUGAAUUGCAGAAUUCAGUGAAUCAUCGAAUCUUUGAACGCACAUUGCGCCCCCCAGUAUUCUGGCGGGCAUGCCUGUUCGAGCGUCAUUUCAACCAUCAAGCCCUGCUUGUGUUGGGGUCCUGCGGCUGCCCGCAGGCCCUGAAAACCAGUGGCGGGCUCGCUAGUCACACCGAGCGCAGUAGCACAUCUCGCUCAGGGCGUGCGGCGGGCUCCAGCCGUUAAAGCAUCCACCUUUCGCAAGGUUGACCUCGGAUCAGGUAGGAAUACCCGCUGAACUUAAGCAUAUCAAUAAGCGGAGGA